GGGGAUGUCUUAAUUCGCCAAUAACCUUUUUAGUUAAAGCUGUCUAGGAGAAGUCUGAUCGGAACUUCUAUAAAAAGCCGGUCGCUUGGAUAAAUGCCAAGAACUUUGUCGCAAGAGUUAAGCAGGCUUUUAGCUUGCCAGCUUUUGCUCCUGCUUUAGCUUAAUAUAAGCUGAAGCCAUCCUACCUAACAACGCCUGAUAGUUAACGCGGGGUGUCAUAUUCAUCAGGCUAGAUAAUUUGAUUGUCUAAGUUGAAUUAUUAAAAACUACUUUAGACUGGAAAAAGAACAUUUUGUCUAUUUUUAACUUCUUUUUUGAGACUAGCUAAAUAGACUACCCUAGUAGAGGUUUUGAUUAAUAAUUUAUUGCACGUGGGUGUAAGACCCACCAUCUCCACCA
rnacentral:tmRNA from 1 species